rnacentral:lncRNA from 1 species
CUUCACUACAAUACUAGUUCCCCGUUGCUGCCGCAAUAAAUUACCACACACUUAGUGGCUUAAAACAGCACAGAGGUAUUCCUUUACAUUUCUGAAGGCCAGAAUUCUAAAGUCAGUCCCACUGAGUCAACGUGGGAGCAGGGUCAGUGCCUUCCCAGGCUCUGCGGGAGAAUCUGUUUCCUGGCCCUGGAGGCGGCCUGUACUCCUCAGCUUGUGCUGCCCUUCUCGAAUGACUCGCGUUUCCUGCUUUCAUCACUACACCUCCCACCGCUCUCCAUCACCUGCUCUGCUCUUAUAAGGAUCCAGUUUUCAGAAAAAUGGAAUAGUCGUAUCACUGAUCUACGUAAACAAGUUGAAGAAUUGUCUGAAAGAAAAUACAGUGUGUCUAAACUGGAAAAGUCCUGUAAUAGUUUGUUCAUGAGCAUUUACACAAUGGAGUUGCUGUUUCAUCAUGGGGGUACUGUGGACAAACCCAGGGCUGCUG